rnacentral:rRNA from 1 species
UGGCUCAGAACGAACGUUAGCGGCGCGCCUAACACAUGCAAGUCGAGCGAGAAGGAAGUAAUUCCUGUAAAGCGGCGCACGGGUGAGUAACACGUAGGUAAUCUACCUCGAAGUGGUGGAUAACCUUCCGAAAGGAGGGCUAAUACAGCAUGAGACCACGGUUUCGAAAGAGAUUGAGGUCAAAGCGGGCCACUAUACAUAAGCUCGCGCUUCGAGAUGAGCCUGCGGCCCAUCAUGGUAGUUGGUAGGGUAAUGGCCUACCAAGCCGAAUACGGGUAGCUGGUCUGAGAGGAUGAUCAGCCACACUGGAACUGAGACACGGUCCAGACUCCUAUGGGAGGCAGCAGUGGGGAAUCUUGCGCAAUGGGCGAAAGCCUGACGCAGCGACGCCGCGUGAGUGAUGAAGGCCUUCGGGUUGUAAAGCUCUGUGGAGGGGGACGAAUAAGGGUUGGCUAACAUCCAGCUCGAUGACGGUACCCCUUUAGCAAGCACC